rnacentral:rRNA from 1 species
CCCUUAGACGUUCUGGGCCGCACGCGCGCUACACUGACGGAGCCAGCGAGUAUAAACCUUGGCCGAGAGGUCUGGGAAAUCUUGUGAAACUCCGUCGUGCUGGGGAUAGAGCAUUGUAAUUAUUGCUCUUCAACGAGGAAUGCCUAGUAGGCGCAAGUCAUCAGCUUGCGUCGAUUACGUCCCUGCCCUUUGUACACACCGCCCGUCGCUCCUACCGAUUGGGUGUGCUGGUGAAAUGUUCGGAUCGGCCGUUUGUCGCGGUUUCCGCGUCAUGUGGCUGAGAAGUUCAUUAAACCCUCCCACCUAGAGGAAGGAGAAGUCGUAACA